ACGGGUAUAGUAUAGUGGUUCAGUAUAGCUCGUUCCCAUGCGGUAACACGAGUUGACGCGAGUUCGAACCUCGCUACCCGUA